CUGGCUCUGCGUUCCAGAAUUAAUGGUUCGUGUCUGCUGAGGCUAUCUGCACUGUACUCGAAAUCAAACAACAAAAAGCAAGGAUGAAGCCAAACAACCCAAAUGAUCAAAAAGCAUUCUGGUGGUGGGUGUGAAACUUGCUCUCUCAGCAGCAGAGGUCCAAGUAUACACAGCCACUGGAGAGCUGAAGCGCCGAGCAGACUACCUUUGUAGUCACUUUUGCUCAGAGACACACGCACACGCAUACAUUGAAGGAGGAACGCGCCAUUCGCUGCCCUACGAAGUGUCACACGUCCGCAUAGUAAGCAGUACAUUUCACACGUGAAGGAGGGGUCUGCAUCUCAAAUGUAAGCCACUGGAGAUCUGUGAAAAUUAUCAAAAGGGAAACAGGACAAAAGGGCAGCUGCUGAAACAUUUGGCUGUGCCGAGGGGUAGUGGGCUCAACAUGCUGGAGUUCUGCACAUGACCAGCUUGAGUUUGUAUCCACAGCUACAGGACAGAACUUUAUGGAAACACUUUGCCAAGCCAUGUGGUGCUCGGCUUCCCUUUGCAUCAAUACCCUUUUAAUUACCUGAUCCUGCGGGGGAAAAAGUUGGGGAAAAGUGUCGGUGCAAAAGCCUAGGAGCCUGCCGGGAAUCAGACUUUUAAAAAAAAAUCAGCACCAGAAAAUGUCUGGCAAUUAUUCUACACGACAGCGAUAUAAAUCCUGCAACUGGCCUGCAAAGAAAAGCCCUCACUGUGAGAAGAUGUGGUAACCUUUUAAAUAUCAUGGGUUUGCUUGUCUCAGCCUGCAGACCUGCCCUCACAAGCCACCUGAAGUGUUAAUGGACGCUCUCUUUUGAAGAAGUCAUAACUGAAAAUGUGGUUAGAACUCAGGACCUCAUCAGCAGACCCUUCCCCGGAACACUUUGCAUGUCUGAGGAACCUGCAGGCCCUUGUGGUCGCUGGAACUCUCUUCUCGGCAAGAGGCAGCAGGCGGUUCUCUGUGGAGGGACCCAGACGGUCUGCAUUCAAGACUGUAAGAAAGACCCUAACAAGACCUGUCUUUUAUUUUCUCUUGUACAGUCUUUGGAUUCAUCGUGAGGGUCACAGGCAAAUCCCUAAAGUCUUGCUCUCAGAAUAAAUGUGAAUUUCAUUCAAAGAAAGGAUGCAUUCUUUCCCAUCAUUACAUUGUUUUGUGCUCAGGUGGUGCAGAGGAGAAUUUAAGAAGUAUCAAGCCACAUGAUUUCUGAGAAUAGCUGAAAAGAUGCUUUUCAACAUUGGUGGAAAAAGAAAGAAAAACAAAUAAAUUAGAUGUGAGCUCUCAUCAGAUUUCUUA